rnacentral:rRNA from 1 species
UACAGAGGGUGCAAGCGUUGUUCGGAAUUAUUGGGCGUAAAGAGCUCGUAGGCGGUUCGGUAAGUCAGGUGUGAAACCUCCAGGCUCAACCUGGAGACGCCACCUGAUACUGCUGUGACUCGAGUCCGGUAGGGGAGCGUGGAAUUCCUGGUGUAGCGGUGAAAUGCGCAGAUAUCAGGAGGAACACCAGCGGCGAAGGCGGCGCUCUGGGCCGGAACUGACGCUGAGGAGCGAAAGCGUGGGUAGCAACAGG